UACAGAGGGUGCAAGCGUUGUUCGGAAUUAUUGGGCGUAAAGCGCGUGUAGGCGGCAGUGCAAGUCGGGUGUGAAAGCCCUCAGCUCAACUGAGGAAGUGCGCCCGAAACUGCAGAGCUUGAGUGCCGGAGAGGGUGGCGGAAUUCCCCAAGUAGAGGUGAAAUUCGUAGAUAUGGGGAGGAACACCGGUGGCGAAGGCGGCCACCUGGACGGUAACUGACGCUGAGACGCGAAAGCGUGGGUAGCAAACAGG
rnacentral:rRNA from 1 species